rnacentral:rRNA from 1 species
AUACGGAGGAUCCGAGCGUUAUCCGGAUUUAUUGGGUUUAAAGGGUGCGUAGGUGGUUUGAUAAGUCAGCGGUGAAAGUUUGCAGCUUAACUGUAAAAAUGCCGUUGAAACUGUCGGACUUGAGUGUAAAUGAGGUAGGCGGAAUGCGUGGUGUAGCGGUGAAAUGCAUAGAUAUCACGCAGAACUCCGAUUGCGAAGGCAGCUUACUAAGCUACAACUGACACUGAAGCACGAAAGCGUGGGGAUCAAACAGGAUUAGAUACCCUGGUAGUCCACGCAGUAAACGAUGAUUACUAGCUGUUUGCGAUACACAGUAAGCGGCACAGCGAAAGCGUUAAGUAAUCCACCUGGGGAGUGCGCCGGCAACGGUGAAACUCAAAUGAAUUGACGGGG